AGUGAACGCUGGCGGUAGGCCUAACACAUGCAAGUCGAACGGCAGCACAGUAAGAGCUUGCUCUUACGGGUGGCGAGUGGCGGACGGGUGAGGAAUACAUCGGAAUCUACUUUUUCGUGGGGGAUAACGUAGGGAAACUUACGCUAAUACCGCAUACGACCUACGGGUGAAAGCAGGGGAUCUUCGGACCUUGCGCGAUUGAAUGAGCCGAUGUCGGAUUAGCUAGUUGGCGGGGUAAAGGCCCACCAAGGCGACGAUCCGUAGCUGGUCUGAGAGGAUGAUCACCCACACUGGAACUGAGACACGGUCAAGACUCCUACGGGAGGCAGCGGUGGGGAAUAUUGGACAAUGGGCGCAAGCCUGAUCCAGCCAUACCGCGUGGGUGAAGAAGGCCUUCGGGUUGUAAAGCCCUUUUGUUGGGAAAGAAAAGCAGCAGGUUAAUACCCCGCUGUUCUGACGGUACCCAAAGAAUAAGCACCGGCUAACUUCGUG
rnacentral:rRNA from 1 species